rnacentral:rRNA from 1 species
UCAGUUUGGAUCUCUGAGUUUGAUCCUGGCUCAGAAGUCGAAAAGGUAACCCGUAUUGGAUCCCCCAAAGUUUGAUCCCGGCUCAAAAGGGCACAAAAAAGGAAACGGAAUUUGAUCCCCUUUACUUUUUUCCCGGCUCCGAAAGGGACCUAAAAGAUACCCGUUUUGUUUUCCCCCUAUUUUUUUCCCCCGCCCAAAUGAGGUAAAGGCUCACCUAGGCAACGAUCCCCAACUGGUCUGAGAGGAUGAUCAGUCACACUGGAACUGAGACACGGUCCAGACUCCUACGGGAGGCACCAGUGGGGAAGAUUGGACAAUGGGCGAAAGCCUGAUCCAUCCGUGGCGCGUGGGUGAAUAAGGGCUUCGGAGUGAAAGCAUUUUAAGUUGGGAGGAAGGGCAGGAGGCGAAUACCUUGCUGGUUUGACGUUACCAACANAGUAAGCACCGGCUAUCUUCUUGCCAGCAACCCCGGUAAUACAAAGGGUGCAAGCGUUAAUCGGAAUUACUGGGCUUAAAGCGCGCGUAGGUGGUUCAACAAGUUGGAGGUGAAAUCCCCGGUCUCAACCUGGGAACUGCCUCCAAACUACUGAGCUAAAGACGGUAUAGGGUAAUGGAAUUUCCUGUUGUAGCGUGAAAUACGCAUAUAUAAGGAGGUGAAUUCCCGGGCUCAACCUUGGGAAUUGCCUUCAAUACUACUGAGCUAGAGUACGGUAGAGGGUAGUGGAAUUUCCUGUGUAGCGGUGUAUUGCGUAGAUAUAGGAAGGAACACCAGUGGCGAAGGCGACUACCUGGUCUGAUACUGUCAUUGAGGUGUGAAAGCGUGGGGAGCAAACAGGAUUAGAUACCCUGGUAGUCCACGCCGUAAACGAUGUCGACUAGCCGUUGGGAUCCUUGAGAUCUUAGUGGCGCAGCUAACGCAUUAAGUCGACCGCCUGGGGAGUACGGCCGCAAGGUUAAAACUCAAAUGAAUUGACGGGGGCCCGCACAAGCGGUGGAGCAUGUGGUUUAAUUUGAAGCAACGCGAAGAACCUUACCUGGCCUUGACAUGCUGAGAACUUUCCAGAGAUGGAUUGGUGCCUUCGGGAACUCAGACACAGGUGCUGCAUGGCUGUCGUCAGCUCGUGUCGUGAGAUGUUGGGUUAAGUCCCGUAACGAGCGCAACCCUUGUCAUUAGUUACCAGCACCUCGGGUGGGCAUUUUAAGGAGACGGCCGGUGACAAACCGGAGGAAGGUGGGGAUGACGUCAAGUUUUCAUGGCCCUUACGGCCAGGGCAACACAAAAACUACAAUGGUCGGUUCAAAGGGUUGCCAAGCCGCGAGGGGGGGGUAAAAGGAUAAACAAUAUGGGAUUCUGGAGGGCUUUCCCCGGGUCGAGGAAGUGGAAACAGGAUAACCAGUAAUGGUUCCUUAGGAUUUUGCCCCGGGUUCGGAAAGUGGUAACAAGGUAACCAGUAGGGGCUCCUUUAGAGUUUGAUCCUGGCUCAGUAAGUC